rnacentral:tRNA from 1 species
AUUAAUUUAAGCUAAUUAAAGCUAAUGAGUUCAUAUCUCAUAAAUGAUUAAUU